UUUUAGUUUCAUAUUGUGUGCGUUAGCGAUUGUAAUGGCAUCCUUUUUUUUGCUGCCGUAUAUGGCAAAAAAAAGAUAUAAUGAAAAGCGCGACCUUUU
rnacentral:sRNA from 1 species